rnacentral:rRNA from 1 species
UACAGAGGCCCCAAGCAUUAUCCGGAAUCACUGGGCGUAAAGGGUGUCAAGGCGGCUAUAUUAGUCGUUCGUUAAAUCCGUGGGCUCAACCUACGGUCUGCGAGCGAAACGGUAUAGCUAGAGGUCAGGAGAGGUGCAUGGAACUCAUGGUGUAGGGGUGAAAUCCGUUGAUAUCAUGGGGAACACCAAAGGCGAAGGCAGUGCACUGGCCUGAAUCUGACGCUCACACACGAAAGCCAGGGUAGCGAACGGG